GUGCAGAUGAGAGCGGAGUUGAUAUGCUGUUCAGUCUGACGUGUCAGUUGGAAAAGUGCUAGAAAGAUCAAUCAGUCUAGCACUUAAUUUUCAACAUCCCGUUCGUGUUUCCACUUAGGUCAAAGAGCAUCUCGGAGCUGUCACGGCCCGCCUGCCACUUGGGUGGAACUACCCUCCAGUCAUCACCUUUACCCACAAGGCACCUGGACAGUAGAGGGGAUGGGGUUGGAGUGGCGGCUGAUGUGAGGGAAAGACAAUCAGAAAAUGAAGACAUUGCAAGAAAGGCGAGUUGGUUGGAGAGCAGACGGCACACCACCCUAAUUUGGAAGCUCCACACGUUCUGGCAUCAGUGCAGCCACGGGGCACCCACAGGGCCGCCACAGCACCGGGGGAAGAGAUGGGCACACAGGAAGACGCCUGGCUUGGCUGGCAUCAUUUUCAUGCAGCUCUCUGGGUGAGAUGCUCUGCGAUGUAACAGCAGUCAUGAUCCCUCAGAGUGACCAGGUCAUGGUGACAUCCUGGCUCUGCUCUGACUGCUGCUGCAACAGAUUCAUACAA